ensembl:lncRNA
CUGCUUAACUUGAUCUAACUGGUCAGGAGCUGUCCAUCCCCCAGACUGUAAUGGAGGAUUGAACCUGGGGUUGGGGUGACUGUAAUAGCUCAUCGAGGGCUGUCAUUCCGGUUCAGUCUGCUUGCUAACGGUUUCCUCUCCGAGGGAUAGUUCCAAGCGUGGCGGUGACGACAGACACUGCAGAGCAACACGACAGCCUGUUCUCAAGACCCCAGGUGGUGUGUGUGUGUGUGUGUGUGUGUGUUUGUGUCCGCAUGCAAGUGUGGUUGUGUGUAGAAGUGUAUGUGUGGAGAAGCCACCCAGCGUGUUGCUCUAUUAUACAUCACCGUGACCCUUAGGAUUACGCCAGGCCAUUCUGGAAGGAAGCGGUUCACAUUCCUCACCUAGCGUUACCAUUCCGGACGCCGUGCUUUGCUCAUAUAAACCCAAUGACUCAGGAAAAAAAAAGAAUCGAAACAUUUACUGGAACCUUUACCCACGGUCCAAUCGGCCAAAGGCCUAGUCCACCCAGAGAGCUGGAGAAACGGAGACGGGCGAGCCAGACGAGAGGACUGGGAGGCUCCCUGGCACGGGCAGGAGUGCAGUGGAAAAACUGGACAAGAAAAAAACGAGUACAUUAAUCUCUGUUUAGUCCCAGGCGUCUCCCACCCUUUUUCCUAGUUCUCUCUCCGUUCUCACUGUGCGGUACCUUGGCUGUCAGAGCUGGUGCAGGGCUGGGUAUAAAGGCCAUCUGGAAAGUGGGAGCGCUGAGCAUUGAGAAUGAAGACUUCCAGACUCUGACAGGGCUGCGACGCACCAUCUGGUCCACCCCUCGCUCGAAGAACCUGUUUCUAGCUUCUUCACGCACCGGCCUCCGGCACUCAAGCUCUCUGACUGAAAACAUACCUGUUCACUCACCCGCCUCGAUUAGCGUCUGCUGUCAGGGGGUUAGUGGAGUGUGAAUACCUGCUUCUUUUUUUUUGUGUGCGACUUUUUGGGAUCGGUGUAAGGCGGGCAUGGAGUGGUUGAGCUGUGCUUUCAGACCCAGGAUGUCAAUCGGUGUCUGGGCGUCAUUUCUUCUUCUCAUCUGGACUUGUCGAGUGACCCAGGCAGCCAUCUACAGGCAUGCAGGUUCGUGUAGCUACAAAGAAGUAAUUUUUCAGCCAGGACAGACAUUUCACCGGGGCUGUGAUAAGUGCUACUGCCAUGAAAAAGGCUACGUCUGUCUCUCACCGAUGACACCUACAACAUGGCCCAAGAAGUGUGAGCGGGUUCCGACGGAAUGUGGUUACCGUGUUGUUUACAAGCACUCCCCGGAGGUGGAGUGUCGAGCCUACAGCUGGAUCUGGUGAAGACACAACAGUCACAGUCAGCAGUGAAGAUGACUAGACUCUAGCAGAGGACUACUGCUUUAAUGAAGACCACCACUUUAAGAACGCAGGUGUAUUAUUUUGUAUCAAAUGACAUGACUCUAGCAGAGGACUACCCCUUUAAUGAAUACCACCCCUUUAAGAACGCAGGUGUAUUAUUUUGUAUCAAAUGACAUGACUCUAGUAGAGGACUACCCCUUUAAUGAAGACCACCCCUUUAAGAACGCAGGUGUAUUAUUUUGUAUCAAAUGACAUGACUCCAGCAGAGGACUACCCCUUUAAUGAAUACCACCCCUUUAAGAACGCAGGUGUAUUAUUUUGUAUCAAAUGACAUGACUCUAGCAGAGGACUACCCCUUUAAUGAAUACCACCCCUUUAAGAACGCAGGUGUAUUAUUUUGUAUCAAAUAACAUGACUCUAGCAGAGGACUACCCCUUUAAUGAAGUCUUCACUUACAACACAAAAAAAUAGACGCCAAUUGCUAAAUUGAACAGCUUGACUCCUUGGUCAUUGUCCUCGAUCUGAAUGGAUGUGUGUAAAGUGCCAGCAUGUGUCUCCGUAUUAAUGGUAUUGACUGAAAAUAUAUACAUGAAUCGACCGAAGGACCUCUUCAUCUCGGCAUGAAUUCCAGUAAGAGGUUUGCCAACAUGUACAGUAAAACAGUAUUAACCAAACCCUGUGUAUUGUCUCUUACCACCCCAGUAGACCCCCAGUCAAGCUCCCUCAUUGCUUCCCUUUAGUCAUCAGUGAACUAAGGCAGUGGUUCACUGUCUUAACGAACGUAUUAUGACAAAAACAUAAUUCGCUGAUGUUUGGCGAAGUGUCGCAACCGAAACUGUUGUGGGCCAACGAAUACACCCUCUGGUGUCACAGGGACUGAAAACACAGCAGACGUGUGAAUUUGCCCCAGCACUACGAACCUGAUUUAAAACUACGUUGACCAUUUUAAUUGGUUAUAUAACAUAACGGCAACAAAAAAAAAAUACUAAACUGUGCACGCCUUCGAGUCCCUGGGACCGGGGUUGAGAACCAUUGAUCUGAAGCACCAACUCAUUAGAGCCUAAAUGUCGCUCCAAGACACACUGUCCAAACGUGUGAAGGUUCUGGUUUUCCAAUGCAACCAACUCAGUCCAUUGGAAUGACCGGCGUAAACUCCCGGCACGCAUGUGCAGUGUGUUAUGAUAACCGGAUACCUUACAUAACCACACAAUAAAGCACGGUGGUACCACAGUCAUGUGCUCCUGUAUUUUAUCCCAUAGCUCGUAGGUGUUCAGUUCUGCAGACCGCAGGCAUUCUACGGUUUAUCUAUCGCAGCUUUGGGGGACAAAGAACGCUAUACCCCAUGCCAGUGAAUCUAGACGGGACUUUGCUUUUAAUAAAUUAAAGAUCACAAUGGGUAUUCAGAAAACACAUGGUCAUCAUGAGUAUUUUAUUAUCAAAAUGCAUUACAUUUUACAUCUCUUCCGUAUUUUCAUCUUUUGGAUGGGGGAGUCCAAAUAGUUAACACUAUGCUCUGUGUAAAAAAUAAAACAAGACUUAAACGUCGUCAUCCAAGAAAGAAAAAUAAAUGAAGUUUCCAGGUUUCACCGGGACUCAAAAGUGAAGAAUAAAGCCAGACGAUCUGCACAGACACAUUUAUCCCGAUGACACCAUCUGUCAGUCAGUCAGAACCAGAAAAAAAAAACAAUAUCAUGCGGCGAAUUUAGUGUACUAUAUUUCUGGUACAGUUUAUAACAUUUUAUACAAGUACACAUGAUCAUACAUUAUGUUUCCGUUAAAUUGUACGUUUUUUUUUUUUUUAAGGUGCUGGUAAUUUUGGGUCACAAAUUUCUGUCAAACA